rnacentral:rRNA from 1 species
UACGUAGGGUGCAAGCGUUACUCGGAAUUACUGGGCGUAAAGCGUGCGCAGGCGGUGAUGUAAGCCAGUUGUGAAAUCCCCGGGCUCAACCUGGGAACUGCAUCUGUGACUGCAUCGCUGGAGUGCGGCAGAGGGGGAUGGAAUUCCGCGUGUAGCAGUGAAAUGCGUAGAUAUGCGGAGGAACACCGAUGGCGAAGGCAAUCCCCUGGGCCUGCACUGACGCUCAUGCACGAAAGCGUGGGGAGCAAACAGG